rnacentral:rRNA from 1 species
AUUGAACGCUGGCGGCAUGCUUUACACAUGCAAGUCGAACGGCAGCGCGGGCUUCGGCCUGGCGGCGAGUGGCGAACGGGUGAGUAAUGCAUCGGAACGUGCCCAGUAGUGGGGGAUAGCCCGGCGAAAGCCGGAUUAAUACCGCAUACGACCUGAGGGUGAAAGCGGGUGACCGAAAGGCCUCGCGCUAUUGGAGCGGCCGAUGUCGGAUUAGCUAGUUGGUGGGGUAAAGGCUUACCAAGGCGACGAUCCGUAGCUGGUCUGAGAGGACGACCAGCCACACUGGGACUGAGACACGGCCCAGACUACUACGGGAGGCAGCAGUGGGGAAUUUUGGACAAUGGGGGCAACCCUGAUCCAGCCAUGCCGCGUGCGGGAAGAAGGCCUUCGGGUUGUAAACCGCUUUUGUUCGGGAAGAAAUCCUCUGGGCUAAUACCCCGGGGGGAUGACGGUACCGGAAGAAUAAGCACCGGCUAACUACGUG